AUUCCAGCUCCAAUAGCGUAUAUUUAAGUUGUCGCAGUUAAAAAGCUCGUAGUUGGAUUUUGGGUCGGGGGCACCGGUCCGCCGUUCCGGUGUGCACUGGUGGCCCCUUCCUUUCUGCCGGGGACGUGCGUCGCACUUAAUUGGGUGGCGUUCGGAGUCGGCGUUGUUACUUUGAAAAAAUUAGAGUGUUCAAAGCAAGCCAUCGCUCUGAAUACAUUAGCAUGGAAUAACAUGAUAGGACUCCGGUCUUAUUUUGUUGGUUUCCGAGACUGGAGUAAUGAUUAAGAGGGACAGUCGGGGGCAUCCGUAUUUCAUUGUUAGAGGUGAAAUUCUUGGAUUUAUGAAAGACGAACUUCUGCGAAAGCAUUUGCCAAGGAUGUUUUCAUCA
rnacentral:rRNA from 1 species